UCGAUUAUGGCUCAGAUUCGGGCAACUGGCGGGAUGCCACAUGCAAGUCGGACACGGCAGCACGGACUUCGGUCUGGUGGCGAGUGGCGAACGGGUGAGUAAUGUAUCGGAACGUGCCUAGUAGCGGGGGAUAACUACGCGAAAGCGUAGCUAAUACCGCAUGCGCCCUUCGGGGAAAGCGGGGGCCUUCGGGCCUCGCGCAGUAGAGCGGCCGAUAUCGGAUUGGCUAGUUGGUGGGGUAAGCUUGGCUCACCAAGGCGACGUCCGUAGCUGGUUUGAGAGGACGACCAGCCACACUGGGACUGAGACACGGCCCGAACUCCUACGGGAGGCAGCAGUGGGGAAUUUUGAAUGACGGGAAACCCUGAUCCAGCCAUCCCGCGUAUUGCGAUGAAGGCCUUCGGGUUGUAAAGCACUUUUGGCAGAAAGAAACGGCACGGAUAAUACCCCGUGCUGACCCCAAUGAGUAGCACCUGCAAGGAGAUGUACCGGCUAACUACGUGCCAGCAGCCGCGGUAGCCGUAGGGUGCAGGCGUUAAUCGGAAUUACUGGGCGUAAAGCGUGCGCAGGCGGUUCCGGAAAGAAGAUGUGAAAUCCCGGAAGCAGCUUUGAACUGCAUUUUUAACUGCCGAGCUAGAAUUGUUGCAGAGGGAGAUUGGAAUUCCGCGUGUAGCAGUGAAAUGCGUAGAUAUGCGGAGGAACACACCGAUGGCGAAAACGACCUCCUGGGAUAACACUGACGCUCAUGCACAGCGUAGAGCAAGCAGGAUUAGAUACCCUGGUAGUCCACGCCUAAACGAUGUCAACUAACUGUUGGGGCCUUCGGGCCUUGGUAGCGCAGCUAACGCGUGAAGUUGACCGCCUGGGAGAGUACGGUCGCAAGAUUAAACUCAAAAGGAAUUGACGGGGACCCGCACAAGCGGUGGAUGAUGUGGAUUAAUUCGAUGCAACGCGAAAAACCUUACCUACCCUUGACAUGUCUGGAAUCCAGAAGAGAUUUGGAGUGCUCGCAAGAGAACCGGAACACAGGUGCUGCAUGGCGCUGUUGUCGUCGGCUCGUGUCGUGAGAUGUUGGGUUAAGUCCCGCAACGAAGCCGCAGCCAUGGGUAGUUGCUACGAAAGGGCACUCUAAUGAGACUGCCGGUGACAAACCGGAGAAGGUGGGAUGACGUCAAGUCCUCAUGGCCCUUAUGGGUAGGGCUUCACACGUCAUACAAUGGUCGAGACAGAGGGUCGCCAACCCGCGAGGAGAACCAAUCCCCAGAAACCCGAUCGUAGUCCGGAUCAUGAUCCGCAACUCGACUGCGUGAAGUCGGAAUCGCUAGUAAUCGCGGAUCAGCAUGUCGCGGUGAAUACGUUCCCGGGUCUUGUACACACCACCCGUCACACCAUGCAGGAGUGGGUUUUACCAAGUAGUUAGCCUAACCGUAAGGAGGCGAUUACCGGUAGGAUUCUCAUGACUGGGGUGAAGUCGUAAUAAGGUAG
rnacentral:rRNA from 1 species